rnacentral:rRNA from 1 species
UACGUAGGGGGCGAGCGUUGUCCGGAUUUAUUGGGCGUAAAGAGCGUGUAGGCGGUUCGGUAAGUCUGUCGUGAAAUCCUGAGGCUCAACCUCGGGCGUGCGAUGGAUACUGCCGGGCUAGAGGGUGGUAGAGGCGAGUGGAAUUCCCGGUGUAGCAGUGAAAUGCGUAGAGAUCGGGAGGAACACCAGUGGCGAAGGCGGCCUUCUGGACCAAUACUGACGCUCAUGCACGAAAGCGUGGGGAGCAAACAGG